rnacentral:lncRNA from 1 species
UAUAUAUAUAAAAUACUGAAACAAUUAUUCAAUAAUGUACUAACCCCCAAUGUUUUAUGGAAAUUCAAUAGUAUAAUAUGUAAUAGGUUUUUCCGAAAACCCUAGCAUGCUAUAAAACCUUUCAUAAAACCUGUCUCGUAUAUAUAUUGUGCUAAAUAGUGGUAUUAUAAUUGACCUGUAGGCCCCUACAUCACCCGACCCAUAGGCCAAAUAAGUAUCAUCGCCCAUAGGCAGAACAGUGACCACUAGAUAAGCACAAAACAUUGAAUAUAAUAUUUCCAAACAUACGUACAUAUAUCUCAAAACAUCUUCAUAGUAUAUAAUCAUCCAUCAUAUGUUGGAAGUAUGCCCACAAAGCCACUCAUUUGAUGUAAUAGCUUUUGGAAUACUUAUUGUGUUAAACUAUUAUAUGUUUAAUGAAGGGCAAAUCUUUUUGUUAAUCACUAUUUAUUGUAUUAUAUGUUUAAGCAAUAAGGGAAUCCAAUGAAUGUAUUUAAUCUAAGAGAGAAGUGAUCUAAGUAAGUUAGAUUAACGAGACCUUUCUCUUAUGUUCAUUACUAAAACGUUCCUAGCCAUAAGAUUGCGAAUUGGGCAUUGACAAUUCGCUAAGGUUAGUAUGUGUUAUGUUAACUCAAGCGCGAGUAUGACUAGUCUCAAGUCAUUUAGUGUUGAACACUGAGACAACACAUAGGCGCUCGAAAGGUAAUUGAGUACACUGAACAACGAUAAAAAAGGAGUUCGAACAUACAUGUCAUGUAAGAAUUCGUAAGUUGCAAUAUGCAAAGUAGUCAUUUGACCUGAGGCAUUAUAGAUGUCUAAUGGUUGGGUCCUUGAUCUUUGAUCAUGUUAAAGGAAUUCCAUUGAGAGUGUCGGCAUUGUUGGGGUCAAACUAUCUAGUUAUGUAGGCAUAUGAAUGCACAACAAGGGAUCUCUAACCUUCCAUGGUGGAGGGAGAAUACUCUGAGAUAUGAUUCAGGAGUCUUUGGCCAAAGCAUACGAAUAUGACUUAGGAAGUUUGUUCUAAAUCAUAUUCAAAUGAAUCAUAUAGAGAAGUAUCACAUUGGAUAGUAGACAUGAAACAAACUAUCACUUAAACAAUGUGAUUAAGAGUAUUGUAUUAGAGAAUGAUCGUAUUACAUUGUAAUUGUAACUAGAUAGGUUCUCCAACCACUUCUACUUAGCUUAGGUAGCCAUGACAUACUGCUAGUUGUCACUCAUGAUUUGUGCAAGCCUUGAAGUUUAGCAAACACUAAUCUUCAUCAAAGGGAGAAUUGAAAUGUGGUUUCAAUUCACAAUCGAUCGUUAAGAGUAACAAUCGCCCACUGCCUUGCUAAUUGGAACCUAAUGGAUCGUACACUGAGUAAAGAUGAAAGUGAAGAAAUAUAAAUGAGAUGGAUAAACAAUUAAAUGGUUUAAUUGAGAAUGGUCAAGAUUAAUUAAUUAUAUGAAAGGUUCGUAUUGGGCUUUCAAUUUAGUUUCAAGUCUCGGGGGCCCAAAAGUGUUUUGCUCCACAAGACCCAUUAUGUUUAAGUUGUAUGACAACUAAAACAAAAUGGGCAAUUAGCCCAAUAACAAAGUCAAGGCCGGCCAUAAGGGUGAGUGGAUGCAAACUUGGAUUAAUUGCAAGUUUGCCACUCACAUGUGAGGUAGUAUAAAGUCAUCUUUAUAGCUUUUACUCACUAGGGUUUUUCUUGAGGUAAAGAAGAGAAACUUUUUCUCUCUUUUUCUCUAUAGAGGCCAGCCACUUAGGGAGACUUUUGCUAGCAUCAAAAAUCUCUCUAAGUCAUCCAUCUUCUCUUCACACUACAUCCUUGGUGUGGAGACUUAGAGACACUAAACCUUUGGUGUUCUUGGAGAUCCUUUCCUCACAUCC